UGAGUGUGUUUUUACUUCAGUCAAGUUAAUUUAAAUAUUUGGUCGCCUAAAAAUGUCUUAUUCAGCAUUAUGCCAACCAAGCUAGCUAGCUACUGCUAGCGUUAGCUGGUAAGUUAAGUGAUAGUUUGCCGAUUUGAUGUACUACUGCUGCUGGCGGUACCCAAAGGGCAUUUACCAGACGGUAAAUCUCCACUGGAUGACUCGCUUCAGAUGGGUUGAAAAUGGGCAACUUUCACACUUUAGCAUUUAGCUUAGCGCUGACGUCAUUCACAUCCAUAUUAAGUAGCCAUGUGCAGGAGGCGCUGGUAAAGAGAGAGGGGCUGGUUUGUCUCCACCAGAUGCUAAGUUUACCAUCAGCUUUCUUUUUAGCUUGUUUUCUAAAAUAAAUCGCUAUUUGCAGAGUAGCAUGAUUUAGUUGUGUAAGAGACUGCUGGGCAAGAGACUGCAUGCAGACAUUAAUGUUACCUUUUUUAACUUGCCCGCUCAUUUUUUUGCAUCUUAAAAUGAUCCCAAAUUUUCUGCCAUUUUCUCCGCCUUUCUCUUCUCUUAGUCCCUCACUAUUUUUCUCUCUUCCUUCAUUUUGUAAUCUGCCCAGUCAGUCUUCAUGGCAUGUGUCAACAGCAGCAUCAGCCCGUUGUGCGACAGUAAUAAUCAUCUGUGAGGAAACACAGU